rnacentral:lncRNA from 1 species
AUCUAAGGAAUAGAGAUGAGGCAAUAAAGUAACAAAUUAUUUAAAAGAUAUUGUUAAUAUAUACGUGUUGACAAUUACAUGAUAACAAAACAUUUUUCCAUUUGGUGAUCAACAAUUCCCUCAAUUUCUUAGUACUUAGUUAAGACCUCCUUUUCGUAUUGAUAAUAUUCAUCAUACUAAAGACUCUCUCAGCAUCACAAUUGACAAUUGGAGUAUUUUUGUAUACAAGGUUGUCACUUGUUGAGAGUUCCUUUAGUUUUGUGUAGCCAGGAUUCUUUUGAAGCACUUCCUUUAACUUGGUCUUCAAUGGCUCUUCCUUCAAAUCUUGAGUCAGAUUUUCUACUAUGGUUAUGCUGGUAAGAAGAGGCAAUAUUUCCUCAAGCGCAGUUAUUUCCAAAGGUAUUUUCCAGUAUAAAUACGAUUUCUUCUAAUAAUGAAUAAUUAUUCAUUACUUCUUGUGCUCUCCUGGUUGCUGCCAAAUCUUCAUAAAGGCUGUUUAAAUAUUCUAUGAAGACGUCCAAGUGAUGGUAGUAGUAUUCCACUGCUUUUACCCAAGUUCCCUAUCUUGUUAUAAUUGGUGAUGGAGGGAGGGAGGGGAAUUUCGUACAAAGCAGUAAAUACUCUCUUUGGGAUGAUCCAGAACAUUUAAAGGCAUGUUACACGAUACAAAUAACUUUGCUACGUCCAAAUUGAAUGAUGGACCGUUUAAUUAUCCUUCAGUUCCUUGAAUCUUGUGUUUCUUGAAGACUUUUAAGUUGUUAAUGUGAUGGGAGGUUUUGGAGUGGCGGAUUACUUGUCAUAAAGAACACGAUGGGCAAGAGAAACCGGCAAAAACUAAACCCAUGAAAAAAGGCACGUUUUCUUCGGCACGAUGAUGAUGCACGUGAGAGAGCAAUAAGAGGGAAGUUGUUUUGCUGAUGAUUAGUACAAUACUGAGGAAAAUUUGCUUAGAAGAUGCAAGCGUACCAACGUGUUUUAUUCCUUUUUUAUACAAUCUCUUUCAACCAAUCAAAUUCAUUCUUUUUCAACGAUUCCAACAACCCUACACAUAAGUCAGGGAGCGCUCUAGAGAAGGAAUAUGCACUCUCUUUGAUAUUUUACAAGCUGUCAUACAAAAAUAUUGAAUAGAAAGAGAUAAUAUUAUAUAUAUAUUCAAAUAAUGAUACUUCAAUAAAUUAUCAAUUAAGGCACCUUAUAUUAAAAAUCGUUUGUAAAAUGAUGUGGGGGGGAAAAUAUACACAUUUGAUUGUGUGCGUAUUUUCAAAAAUUUCUAUAAUAAUUUUUUAUGACGUCAAAAUGUCGUCUUCCCAUCUUUUGAAAAUAAAAGAUUACUUUUAAU